GACCAUUUUGGUUUGUAGAGAUCUAGAUUAAACGUAUAAGACCGAUACUUCCGACUGGAUUCAUUGAAUAGUAAAUUGUUGUCAUUAAUCUCAUUACAACAGGUACUAAUAAGUGAAGGGAAAAAAACCCAAUUAUUUGCAAUUGUAAUUUAUUAAAUGAUUCUUUGCAAUCGACACGACGAAUCCUAAUAAAGCAGUCCUAAGAUCGUAUAAAAAGGUUUUCUCAUUGUUUUCUUUUUCAUUGUGUUCUUAAAGGGCUAGUUGUGCAUUUAAGUGUUGCAAGAUGAAGACAGCUGUUUUCCUUCUUUUUGUCUCCGUUCUAAUUGUUGCGGCCACUGCGUUUCCAACUUUUGAUCAGCUGGCCCAUCCAUCUUCAGAGAGGUUUCGUAGAGCAGUUCCACAGCCAAAACCGGACCUUGAAGGAUCUGAGAGUGUUUACGUGGCCUACCCCUAUUACUAUCCAUAUUACUGGGGCCACAUUAUUGGAAAGUAAAAAAACCAUGACAUCACAUUAAAAGGCUACUGCAUGCAAUACUUGGCAAAUUGUUUUAAUAAAUUAAAUUUUAUAAAAUGUAUCCUAGCAUUUAAUACAGUAUUUAAUACUUAGUGUCUUGCUGGUGCUACACUUGCUAAAUAAAGGGUACUAAAAUUCA